CCUACGGGAGGCAGCAGUGAGGAAUAUUGGUCAAUGGACGCAAGUCUGAACCAGCCAUGCCGCGUGCAGGAAGACGGCUCUAUGAGUUGUAAACUGCUUUUGUACGAGGGUAAACGCAGAUACGCGUAUCUGUCUGAAAGUAUCGUACGAAUAAGGAUCGGCUAACUCCGUGGCAGCAGCCGCGGUAAUACGGAGGAUUCAAGCGUUAUCCGGAUUUAUUGGGUUUAAAGGGUGCGUAGGCGGUCGGAUAAGUUAGAGGUGAAAUCCCGAGGCUCAACUUCGGAAUUGCCUCUGAUACUGUUCGGCUAGAGAGUAGUUGCGGUAGGCGGAAUGUAUGGUGUAGCGGUGAAAUGCUUAGAGAUCAUACAGAACACCGAUUGCGAAGGCAGCUUACCAAGCUACUUCUGACGUUGAGGCACGAAAGCGUGGGGAGCAAACAGGAUUAGAUACCCCUGUAGUC
rnacentral:rRNA from 1 species